rnacentral:lncRNA from 1 species
UGCAUACUUCCUCGAAAGCUACUGAAUCCUCCUCUUCUUCUUCCUCUUUUUGUUAAUCAAAAACUAAUGAACUGAUGCUGGGGGGUAUUUUGGAGAAAUUAUUCUAUAAGUUUGGUAGACCAGUUCAAAAGUGUCAAUGGUGUACUGCGGGUAAGGGUUCCCAAAACGUUCCUGCUUUUCUUCUGUAUCCUAUUGUUUUAGAUUUUUUUUUUUAAGGAACAGGAUUUUGCUUCAGGACUUGGAAAUCUUUAGAAAGAAAAGGCUAUUGAAAAAAAAAAAGAAAAAAAAAAGAAAUAGUUACAGCAAAUAUAUUCUUCAAAUACAUAAAUACAUUGUCAAUAUCAUUCAACAUUUUUCUAUUUGAUUCCGUAGAAGUACAUGCAUCUUCUACAAGUUGAAGCCUACCUCUUUUGAAUCAUAAUAUUACGAUGCAUCACACAGCAGAAAUUUGUAAUUAUCUACAAUCCACACAGCGGACAUGGCAAUUGAAUAUAUUUUUUGUGACUUGCAUCAUAUUCUUAAAUCUUGAGUAACACUUAAACCGAGAUGCAAACGAGUCUAAUUUGCAAGCCUGUCACCAAGUUCUAUUUGAUUCCGUAGAAGUACAUGUAUCUCCUACAAGUUGAAGCCUACCUCUUUUGAAUCAUAAUAUUACGAUGCAUCACACCGCAGAAAUUUGUAAUUAUCUACAAUCCACACAGCGGACAUGGCAAUUGAAUGUAUUUUUUGUGACUUGCAUCAUAUUCUUAAAUCUUGAGUAACAGUUAAACUGAGAUGCAAACGAGUCUAAUUUGCAAGCCUGUCACCAAGUUCUUUGCUAUAUACCUGAAUCAAGCCGCUGUUGUCUGCCAUCUGAAGCUUCUCAUUUAAUGUUGUCCGGUACUGGUCAUCUUUGUCCUCUAAGUUGCGCAUAAAUUCAAC